rnacentral:rRNA from 1 species
GACGUAGGAUGCGAGCGUUGUUCGGAAUUACUGGGCGUAAAGAGUGUGUAGGCGGUGCUCUAAGUUCGGUGUGAAAUCUCCCGGCUUAACUGGGAGGGUGCGCCGGAAACUGGAGUGCUCGAACGUGGGAGAGGAAAGCGGAAUUCCCGGUGUAGCGGUGAAAUGCGCAGAUAUCAGGAGGAACACCGGUGGCGAAGGCGGGACUCUGGGCCGAUACUGACGCUGAGGAGCGAAAGCGUGGGGAGCGAACAGG